rnacentral:rRNA from 1 species
GAUGAACGCUAGCUACAGGCUUAACACAUGCAAGUCGAGGGACCGGCGCACGGGUGAGUAACACGUAUCCAACCUGCCCUUUACUCGGGGAUAGCCUUUCGAAAGAAAGAUUAAUACCCGAUAUAAAGGAUGGGGAUGCGUUCCAUUAGGUUGUUGGUGAGGUAACGGCUCACCAAGCCUUCGAUGGAUAGGGGUUCUGAGAGGAAGGCCCCCUAGAGUGGAACUGAGGCACGGUCCAAACGCAGAGGGGGGGCAGGAGAAAGGAAUACUGGUGAAUGGGCGCUAGCCUGAACCAGCCAAGUAGCGUGAAGGAGGAAGGCUUAUGGGUCGUAAUCUUCUUUGAUAUAAGAAGCGUUAUUAUAUGAAGAAGGAUCGGCUAACUCCGUGCCAGUAGCCGCGGUAAUAC